AAUAAGGGAGCCGAAGGGAAACCGAGUCUUAACUGGGCGGAUAGUUGCAAGGUAUAGACCCGAAACCCGGUGAUCUAGCCAUGGGCAGGUUGAAGGUUGGGUAACACUAACUGGAGGACCGAACCGACUAAUGUUGAAAAAUUAGCGGAUGACUUGUGGCUGGGGGUGAAAGGCCAAUCAAACCGGGAGAUAGCUGGUUCUCCCCGAAAUCUAUUUAGGUAGAGCCUUAUGUGAAUACCUUCGGGGGUAGAGCACUGUUUCGGCUAGGGGUCCAUCCCGGAUUACCAACCCGAUGCAAACUGCGAAUACCGAAGAGUAAUGCAUAGGAGACACACGGUGGGUGCUAACGUCCAUCGUGGAGAGGGAAACAACCCAGACCGCCAGCUAAGGUCCCAAAGUCUAUAUUAAGUGGGAAACGAAGUGGGAAGGCUUAGACAGCUAGGAUGUUGGCUUAGAAGCAGCCAUCAUUUAAAGAAAGCGUAAUAGCUCACUAGUCGAGUCGGCCUGCGCGGAAGAUGUAACGGGGCUAAAAUAUAGCACCGAAGCUGCGGCAUCAGGCGUAUCACUAAUACGCCUUAAGAUUAACAACAUCGAAUGAAGUGAAACGGAAAGAGAUGUUGGUCAAGCAACCCGAACGUUGAGUCGGAAAGUAAUCGAAGAGAGGAUUAUUAGUGAUACGUCUGUUGGGUAGGGGAGCGUUGUGUAAGCGGAUGAAGGUGAAUCGAGAGGUUUGCUGGACGUAUCACAAGUGCGAAUGCUGACAUAAGUAACGAUAAAACGAGUGAAAAACUCGUUCGCCGGAAGACCAAGGGUUCCUGUCCAACGUUAAUCGGGGCAGGGUGAGUCGGCCCCUAAGGCGAGGCUGAAAAGCGUAGUCGAUGGGAAACGGGUUAAUAUUCCCGUACUUG
rnacentral:rRNA from 1 species